GUCGGAGUUCUGAGCUGGCACCACUGACAUGGCUAACAGGACAAACUCCUCUGAGUAUUUCUGGUCUUAUGAAUAUUACUGGGAUUACAUAGAUCCGAUUCCAGUAGAUGGAAGCAAGUUGGAGGUUAAUAAAUACUCCAUCGUCAUUGCCUUUUGGGUCGGCCUUGCUGCAUUCGUGACGUUUCUUUUCCUUAUUUUAUUGUGUAUGUCCUGCUCUGGAUCAAUGCCAGCAAACACGGCUACGAACGGGCGCGCAGGGUCGGGCAGGAGCUCAUUAGGCAGUGACUGCACUCGCGCUAAUUAAUGGUCAUGAGAGCACCCAGGGCAGCUCCCGGGACUGAGCGCUUGCCACCGGAAUGUGUUGGAAUCACUGUGCGAUCCCAGCGGUUCAAGAUGUCAGUAAUGUUUUUUUAAAAGACAGCUACCAAGGAGUGGUGGAAGAAAACAAUAAAUAGUAUUGCCUAUCUCCUGUCAGUGUCUUUGCCUUUUGUGAUGUUGGCUGGCUCCAAGGGG